UGGGGAAUAUUGCACAAUGGGCGCAAGCCUGAUGCAGCAACGCCGCGUGAGGGAUGACGGCCUUCGGGUUGUAAACCUCUUUUAGUAGGGAAGAAGCGAAAGUGACGGUACCUGCAGAAAAAAGCACCGGCUAACUACGUGCCAGCAGCCGCGGUAAUACGUAGGGUGCGAGCGUUGUCCGGAAUUAUUGGGCGUAAAGAGCUCGUAGGCGGUCUGUCGCGUCUGCUGUGAAAAACCCGAGGCUCAACCUCGGGCCUGCAGUGGGUACGGGCAGACUAGAGUGCGGUAGGGGAGAAUGGAAUUCCUGGUGUAGCGGUGGAAUGCGCAGAUAUCAGGAGGAACACCGAUGGCGAAGGCAGUUCUCUGGGCCGUAACUGACGCUGAGGAGCGAAAGCGUGGGGAGCGAACAGGAUUAGAUACCCUGGUAGUCCACGCCGU
rnacentral:rRNA from 1 species